GACGGACAACACUCUCUGUUUCUUACUUUUUUCUUUGUAAAUAAGCAGAAAUGCAUUUAUAUCGAUACAGUUAGUUAUAUAAAGACAUUACAGCAUGCUCAUGUUUAUAAAACACUUGUGUGGACAUGGCUGUGUCUAUAUUAAGUGCGUUCCUAUAUAGUAAUUGGGAUAAUGUAUCUAUAAAUGUUGGUGUUUACUUUAAUGGUGUAACUUCAGAGCAGCCUCUCGGACAGCGUGUGUGGCAGGCUACGUGUGGGGAUGCUGCAGAUUGCUGCGCCCUGCCAGGAAAAUCCACCACAAAACCUGGACCGGAGUUCAGUCUGCAGCUCAGGACCGGACCAGGACCAGGGCCCCAGAUGGUCCUUUGCACAUGUUUUCUUCUCAUUGGUCCGGGGUCCCGGGCUGACAGCGCUGCAGCUCUAUAAGGGUGCUCUGUGCCUCCACUAGGUUUCUCCUCAGGCCCUUACACACUGAAGAGAGACUGCAGGGGAUGAACAAUGCACAAGGAGGAGCAGGUCUGCACGAAUGCUGUACACAUUCAGUCACUGCUGAGUGCACAGUGCAGACCUGUGAUGAACCCUCUGGCAGUUUGAUUCCACAUCACCUGAGCAAAUACUGUUUGGUGCACCAGGAGAGGCAUAUAUAUGUCUUUGAAUUAA